GAGUUUGCUAAUUUGCGUACGCCUAUUUUUCAGUUGGUACGUUUUAGCAAUGUGUACCAGCUUUUAGACAAAAAUAUCCUUAUAUCAUGAAUUUUAAGUUAUAAGGUUAAGGGUAUUUUAAUAAUUUUUAUUCUCAAAAUUAAAAAAAAUAAAAAAAGAAACCCCCAAACCUUUACACACCUUUCUCAUUCCUCCGAACCCUUUCUCUUUCAUCUCUUUCAUUCCAACCUUUUCUCUGUCAUUCCUACUCUAGCUCCAAUCG
rnacentral:lncRNA from 1 species